CAUGUAGGCGGAUUAAUAAGUUUGAAGUGAAAUCCUAUAGCUUAACUAUAGAACUGCUUUGAAAACUGUUAAUCUAGAAUGUGGGAGAGGUAGAUGGAAUUUCUGGUGUAGGGUAAAGUCCGUAGAGAUCAGAAGGAAUACCGAUUGCGAAGGCGAUCUACUGGAACAUUAUUGACGCUGAGAUGCGAAAGCGUGGGGAGCAAACA
rnacentral:rRNA from 1 species